rfam:Heligmosomoides polygyrus genome assembly, scaffold: HPBE_scaffold0002903
GCGCCGGUGGUGUAAGGCGAACAUCGCUGCCCGGAAAGCAGAAGAUGCGGGUUCGAGUCCCGCUUGGCGCA